CGCGUAGGCUGUCCUGUAAGCGGUGUGUGAAAGCCCGGGGCUCAACCCCGGAACUGCAUACCGAACUGCGGGGCUAGAGGACGAGAGGGGAGUAUGGAACUCUAGGUGGAGCGGUGAAAUGCGUAGAUAUCUAGAGGAACGCCGGUGGCGAAAGCGAUACUCUGGCUCGUCCCUGACGCUGAGGCGCGAAAGCGUGGGUAGCAAACA
rnacentral:rRNA from 1 species